GGAAGGUGAUCAAAGAUAUGCAGAAUAUGAUGAGUUCUUGGUACGAAGUGAAAGGGAACUGUAUAAAAUGAGUUAUAAAACGUACAAGGGUAACGCAGGGGACUCUCUUUCAACCCACAAUAACAUGAUGUUUUCCACCAGGGACAGAGAUAAUGAUAAAUGGGAG